CAAGUUUACACCAAAUAUCAAACUUUCUCUCUCUAUUCUUGAAGUCAAUCUUCAAGGAUUCUCUUGAAUUCAAGUUGAUAGGAUGUGUUUAUGUGGGAUUUUGUUGGUGAUUUAUGUGUUUGGCAUAUUUUGGUGAAGCUUCGAAGGUCUCUCAUCUAUGGUUAACAAUGGUGGAAAGUGAGAGAUGAAAGGGGAGAGAGAGAGAGCU
rnacentral:lncRNA from 1 species